rnacentral:sRNA from 1 species
CGUUCGGCUAGGGAUGUGCACCCCGAAAAACCGAAAAUCAUCUGGCGGCCUGCCGAACGAUCAUUUAGCCAGA